ACCUCAGAUGUUUAGAUGGUUACUCUUGCUCCCAGAUCCAGUAGGCUGUAACUGGGCAGUAUUUGUGGGAGAGAGGAGGAUUUACUUGUGUCUCCCAGCCAGGGAACACACUUCCAGAUUAGUACCAUAUUUGUUUUUCUUUUAACUAGGUAGAACCAAUAACACGAUCAUACUAUUUAUCAGCAUGUUAUUGUUGUGCUCCAUAAAUCUGGCACAGGAAACCAGCCUGCCUGGCCAUCAGAUAAAAUUUACUGAGCUAAAUCCUAAAAAUGACUGACUUGUAUUGGGACAAAUACCCAAAAUGAGGCUAGGGCCAAUUUCCCUUGUGUGGGAAAUGGAUUGGUAGAGGAUUCUCACAGCCUGACAGAAGGCUCACAUAGCCUUGUGCAUCUGUAUGCAAACUUUGAGACAAUGCUGACUUAGAAAUGCCAUGGAAUAGGACAGACAUUGAGAAAGAAAUGGAACCAGAAACAAGUUUCAAGGGAUGGCCUUGCAACUAAGACUAGAUACUCUGGAGAAAUAGAACAUUGAAAGGUGCAAUGUAGUAGGACCCACAAGGGAUAAUUGCAGAUGAUUGGCUUUAAGGCUCUAGCAGCAUUGUGUGGCCAAAGCUAAUAGGCCAAGAAACACUUACAAUGUGAUGGUGUGAAAUGUAACAUCUGUAUUGUCUCACCUUUCACAUGAGACUGAAAAGGGAAUAAAAGUUUUUGAAAUGCCUCUCAGUUGCCCCAUCUCUUGGUCAGAAAAGGGUAUCAUCCAACACCUUGAAUAACAGCUCCUGAAUUUUGUGUGUUUUGCUUCAGAGAAAUACUGGUUGGCAGUACUUAUGCAAGAGCUAUUUUAAGGUUUCAUUAGAUUAAAAAAAAAAAAAAAAAAAAAAAAAAAAAAAAAAAAAAAAAAAGCCUGUCCCCCACAUUUUUACUAGGAAAAAAGGUCUAUAAUAUCCAGAAGCAAAUUAUGAUUUUAACUCUUGUUUCCCUCUUUUCUUGUCAAGGUUAAACAAAUGGAAUAUACUGGAGUGGGGAAAACUCAGUGUUGGUUGGAGUGAAGUCACCAGCAUUGCAUUUCUGCACCAGUCACAACUGAUAAGUUCAAAACCACAUCAGCAAUUGGAACAGCAGAACUGGCACCAGCCUGUUUCAGCUGCUUACUGUUAAUGCUUGGAGGGAAGCAAGCUGCACCAAAUGCCUGCCUGAAGGAUGGGCGGUGGCUGCAGUUCCUAUUUGUCUUGCUAAUGGUUUUGUUCUCCAAAACGUGGGUUUCCAGAGGUGCAAGCCACAGAGACCUGGUACACUCUGCUGAUUCGGUACAAGUGAAGCCUCAUCCUGAGUUAAG